CCUACGGGCGGCAGCAGUGGGGGAUAUUGCACAAUGGGGGGAACCCUGAUGCAGCGACGCCGCGUGGGUGAAGGAGCGUUUCGGCGCGUAAAGCCCUAUCGGCAGGGAAGAAGAUGACGGUACCUGACCAAGAAGCCCCGGCUCACUGCGUGACAGCAGCCUCGGCAAUACGGAGGGGGCAAGCGUUAUCCGGAUUUACUGGGUGUAAAGGGGGAGUAGGAGGGGAUGCAAGCCAGGAGUGAAAGCGCGUGGCCCAACCACGGGACUGAUGUUGGAACUGGAAGACGUGAGUGUAGGAGAGGCAGGCGGAAUGCGGGGUGUAGCGGUGAAAUGCAGAGAUA
rnacentral:rRNA from 1 species